ACGUUCAUGUCAUGUUUGAAUCCUCGGUUCCUGUACGAUCACUGAAGUUAAGCAACAUCGAGCCAAGACAGUAUCUAGAUGGUUGACCGCUUGGGAAUAUCCGGUGCUGUAA